rnacentral:rRNA from 1 species
GUCUUUAUUGAACUUCACCCGGAAUUCUUUCUUGUUAAGGAUCAGGCUACCCGGAAAACAAUUCUGCAAAACAAGAGUAGAUGGGGUUUAUUCCCCGUGACCAGACGGCAAAGUGCCCCUCAACGUCAAGUCCUUGCUGCCGUCAAGCCAUCCACCUCGCGGUGGCACAAGCGCCUAGGGCAUCCCGCUCUUCCGGUAGUCCAAAAGAUUCUCCGUGACUUCAAUCUUCCUGUCUCCAAUAAACAAGAUCAUCUCCUGGUGUGUGAUGCAUGUCAGAUGGCCAAGAGCCAUCAGUUACCGUAUUCUCGUUCAACUAGUGAGUCUACAGCUCCUUUAGAGCUUGUUUUUUCAGAUGUUUGGGGUCCUGGACCCGUCUCUGUAGGAAGACAGAAAUACUAUGUCAGUUUUAUCGAUGAUUUCAGCAAGUUUAGCUGGAUAUAUUUGCUCAAAAAUAAAUCUGAUGUCUUUGAGAAAUUUCGUCUCUUUCAA